rnacentral:rRNA from 1 species
AUUGAACGCUGGCGGCAUGCCUUACACAUGCAAGUCGAACGGCAGCACGGGAGCAAUCCUGGUGGCGAGUGGCGAACGGGUGAGUAAUAUAUCGGAACGUGCCCAGUAGUGGGGGAUAACUGCUCGAAAGAGCAGCUAAUACCGCAUACGACCUGAGGGUGAAAGCGGGGGAUCGCAAGACCUCGCGCUAUUGGAGCGGCCGAUAGCAGAUUAGCUAGUUGGUGGGGUAAAAGCUCACCAAGGCGACGAUCUGUAGCUGGUCUGAGAGGACGACCAGCCACACUGGGACUGAGACACGGCCCAGACUCCUACGGGAGGCAGCAGUGGGGAAUUUUGGACAAUGGGCGCAAGCCUGAUCCAGCCAUGCCGCGUGCGGGAAGAAGGCCUUCGGGUUGUAAACCGCUUUUGUCAGGGAAGAAACGGCUCCUACUAAUACUGGGGGCUAAUGACGGUACCUGAAGAAUAAGCACCGGCUAACUACGUGCCAGCCGCCGCAGUAAUAC